rnacentral:rRNA from 1 species
AGGACGAACGCUGGCGGCGUGCCUAAUACAUGCAAGUCGAGCGAGCUUGCCUAGAUGAAUUUGGUGCUUGCACCAAAUGAAACUAGAUACAAGCGAGCGGCGGACGGGUGAGUAACACGUGGGUAACCUGCCCAAGAGACUGGGAUAACACCUGGAAACAGAUGCUAAUACCGGAUAACAACAGUAGACGCAUGUCUAGAGUUUAAAAGAUGGUUCUGCUAUCACUCUUGGAUGGACCUGCGGUGCAUUAGCUAGUUGGUAGGGUAACGGCCUACCAAGGCGAUGAUGCAUAGCCGAGUUGAGAGACUGAUCGGCCACAUUGGGACUGAGACACGGCCCAAACUCCUACGGGAGGCAGCAGUAGGGAAUCUUCCACAAUGGACGCAAGUCUGAUGGAGCAACGCCGCGUGAGUGAAGAAGGGUUUCGGCUCGUAAAGCUCUGUUGUUGGUGAAGAAGGACAGGGGUAGUAACUGACCUUUGUUUGACGGUAAUCAAUUAGAAAGUCACGGCUAACUACGUGCCAGCAGCCGCGGUAAUACGUAGGUGGCAAGCGUUGUCCGGAUUUAUUGGGCGUAAAGCGAGUGCAGGCGGCUCGAUAAGUCUGAUGUGAAAGCCUUCGGCUCAACCGGAGAAUUGCAUCAGAAACUGUCGAGCUUGAGUACAGAAGAGGAGAGUGGAACUCCAUGUGUAGCGGUGAAAUGCGUAGAUAUAUGGAAGAACACCGGUGGCGAAGGCGGCUCUCUGGUCUGUUACUGACGCUGAGGCUCGAAAGCAUGGGUAGCGAACAGGAUUAGAUACCCUGGUAGUCCAUGCCGUAAACGAUGAGUGCUAAGUGUUGGGAGGUUUCCGCCUCUCAGUGCUGCAGCUAACGCAUUAAGCACUCCGCCUGGGGAGUACGACCGCAAGGUUGAAACUCAAAGGAAUUGACGGGGGCCCGCACAAGCGGUGGAGCAUGUGGUUUAAUUCGAAGCACGCGAGACCUUACCAGGUCUGACAUCCUUUGACCACCUAAGAGAUUAGGUUUUCCUUCGGG